rnacentral:piRNA from 3 species
UAGUGGACAGAAGGGAUUUCUGAAAA